UCUUGGACAAUGGGCGCAAGCCUGAUCCAGCCAUGCCGCGUGAGUGAAGAAGGCCUUACGCCCUCUAAAGCUCUUUUACCAGGGACGAUAAUGACGGUACCUGGAGAAUAAGCCCCGGCAAACUUCGUGCCAGCAGCCGCGGUAAUACGAAGGGGGCUAGCGUUGUUCGGAAUUACUGGGCGUAAAGCGCACGUAGGCGGGUCGUUAAGUCAGGGGUGAAAUCCCGGAGCUCAACUCCGGAACUGCCUUUGAUACUGGCGAUCUAGAGAUUGAGAGAGGUGAGUGGAAUUCCGAGUGUAGAGGUGAAAUUCGUAGAUAUUCGGAAGAACACCAGGGCGAAGGCGGCUCACUGCUCGAUACGACGCGAGGGCGAAA
rnacentral:rRNA from 1 species